rnacentral:misc_RNA from 1 species
GUAUUGACGACUGUGACACAUGCCUCUCUUUUCUGCUUUGCUGCAUUGAACAGACUUUCUUGGAUACUCGUUAAUAUGCUCUCCACUUGUUUGGUCAAAUCACUCAUUGGUACAUCAGCUUUUACACCAUUGUCACGACGGACAAGUCUUGCCUGAUUAUUUGCUAUAUCUUUUGGUCCAAUUUCAAUUCUCAGUGGAACACCCUUCAUUUCCCAGUGAGAGUACUUCCAACCAGGAGAAUAGUUGUCUCUCAAGUCUUCCUCAGCCCU